rnacentral:lncRNA from 7 species
GGUUAGGGUUAGGGUUAGGGUUAGGGUUAGGGUUAGGGUUAGGGUUAGGGUUAGGGUUAGGGUUAAGGUUAGGGUUAUAGGGUUAGGGUUAGGGUUAGGGUCCCAAUAUGGGGGGGGGUCCUGCGCGGCUUCUGCCACGGCUUCAGCGACGGCCUCCAGGUGGGAGGGGGCCUAUGGGGGGGGGAUUGGGGUUAGGGUUAGGGUCCCAGUAUGGGAGGGUGGUUAGGGUUACGGUCCCAAUAUGGUGGGGGGUCCCAGUAUGGUGCGGAGGGGGUCCCAAUAUGGGGGGGGGGUCCCUAUAUCAAUCCCUUUGGGGUCCAAAACCCCACUGGGACCCCCAACCCCUAUAGGGCCGUAAUUCCUAUGGGACCCCCAACCCCUAUGGGAUCCCCAAAGCUUAUGGGAUCCCCAAACCUUAUGGGAUCACCAAAUCUUAUGGGACCCUCAAACUCUAUGCCCCCAACCCCUAUAGGACCCCCAACCCCUCUGUGCCCCCCAACCCCUAUAGGACCCCCAUCCUCACUGUGAUCAUCCAACCCCUCUCUGCUCCCCAACCCCUAUAAGACCCCCACCCCCUAUAGGAUCCCAUCCCCACUGUGACCCCCAGCCCCUAUAGGACCCCCAACCCCUCUGUGCCCCCCAACCCCUAUAGGACCCCCAUCCUCACUGUGACCCCCAACCCCUAUAGGACCCCCAACCCCUCCGUGCCCCCCAACCCCACUGUGCCCCCCAACCCCUCUGGGACCCCCAACCCCUAUAGGACCCCCAACCCCACUGUGCCCCCCAACCCCUAUAGGACCCCCAUCCCCUCUGAGCCCCCCCAACCCCACUGACCCCCCCCCCCCCCGUUUCUGCCCGCAGGGGUCCCGGUGCUGUUCAUGCGCUCGGAUGGGGGGCUGACCCCACUGUGCCCCCCAACCCCUAUAGGACCCCCAACCCCACUGUGCCCCCCUACCCCUAUAGGACCCCCAUCCUCACUGUGAUCAUCUAACCCCUCUCUGCUCCCCAACCCCUAUAAGACCCCCAACCCCUAUUAGACCCCCAACCCCUAUAGUACCCCCAUCCCCACUGUGCCCCCCAACCCCUAUAGGAACCCCAACCCCUAUAGGACCCCCAUCCCCUCUGAGCCCCCCAACCCCACUGACCCCCCCCCCCCAUGUCUGCCCGCAGGGGGUCCCGGUGCUGUUCAUGCGCUCGGAUGGGGGGCUGACCCCACUGUGACCCCCAACCCCUCUGUGACCCCCAACCCCUAUAGGACCCCCAACCCCACUGUGACCCCCAACCCCUAUAGGACCCCCACCCCCUAUAGGAUCCCCAUCCCCACUGUGACACCCAACCCCUUUCUGACCCCCAUCCCCACUGUGCCCCCCAACCCCUAUAGGAACCCCAACCCCUAUAGGACCCCCAACCCCUCUGUGCCCCCCAACCCCACUGACCCCCCCCCCCCAUGUCUGCCCGCAGGGGGUCCCGGUGCUGUUCAUGCGCUCGGAUGGGGGGGCUGACCCCCAUGGCGCAGUUCAGCGGUGCCCGCGCGGUGCUUUCCGGGCCGGCGGGGGGCGUUGUGGGGUACAGCCGUACCGCGGGGGGGCUCCGGGAACAGCGGCCCGUCAUUGGCUUCGAUAUGGGAGGUGAGGGGGGGGAUGGGGGGAGAUGGGGGGGUUGGGGGGGGCUGACCCCCUGUCUGUCAUUGGCUUCGAUAUGGGGGGGGAGAUGGGGGAGAGAUGGAGGGGGAACGGGGGGGUUG